UAAAGUUGUUAAAAAAGAAUAAAAUGCUAGAAUAUAUAAUUAGAAGGUUAUCCAUUCUGAAGUUGUGGUUGAUCCUGAAGAAUUUGUGUGGUAUCCUAAAGCCAAUAUACUUAUAAAUUUUUAACAUGAUAUAAGAAUAUACAUAGAAGAAAUAUAAAUAGAUGUUUUAUUUCUCCAAAAUUGUAGAAAAUUUCAUUGGAAUGAAGAUAUAUAUCACUAAAAAAAUAGACAUUACUUUCUUGAUAUAUCAUUAUUUAAAAUAAAUAAUUCCAAUUUAAAUCAUCAAUGAAGUAUUUGCGUGAAAGAAUUAAGCUACAAUGAUUUUCAAAGUAAAUAUUACAAAAUGAACAUUUAAAUGCUCCUCUAUAAUUGCUUUUAAAUUAUAUGGAUAUUAUUAAAGAAAAUCAAUAUUUCUUGUUCACUCACAUACCAAAAGAAAAUUGAAAACAGAAGUAGUAUCACAAAAAAUUAUCAGCACCUGGUUCUCUUCUUUGCGCACCCCUGCUCUUGUCACUCUAGUAGAAGUUGAAAAGACAAGAGAGAGAAACUUGAGUGGAAAUGAACGUUCAUUAUACAUGUUUUCACCACUCAAAACACCCACGCGGAUUUAUCACACCCUAGUUUCACAUGAAAUCCUAUAUAUAUAUAGGUGAUUUCCCCGUCCAAAUUUGAAAAAAAAAAAUUCAAAUUCAAAUUUGAAGUCUCUUCAAUUAACUACAUAUGUAGGGCAUCACCAUUUAUUGCUGGUGCACAUGGUGCGGAGAAAUUCUUCAUCCCAAUGAUUUCCAUUAUAGUGCAGCAAAAUGGGAAACGUACAUCUGUGACGAUCUCCUUUGCUUUCACUUAGUGCGUGUUUGCUUUAGAUUUAGAAACAUGAUUUUUCACUCUCUCUCCACGUUUACAAGCCAAUUUACGUAGAAGUUACAAUUUUUUGCUUCUCGCAAACGUGAAUUUUCACGUCCAAAAGCUAAAACAAACACGCACUUAGGCAGUUUUGUUUUGGUUUACAAAAUGGCUCUGUAACCUGCUAAUCUAAAACUCCACAUUCCCAUUUUGCAUGCAAAUGGAAAUGUAUUCGGCGAGAAAGAAAAGACAAAAUGAAAGCACCACUUUUUAGCUGUUAAAACUCGAAGGCCAUGCUUGAAAACCCUGAUACAUAGGCUUGCAGAAGCACAAAGGCCAGUGUUGUGGACCCAUGCAUCCGUGCGUUGGUUUUAUUAUUACGUGCAUCGGAAAGCCCUUUAUCAAGGCUUUCACUUUUUGUCAUAUUUUUAAACUCGGACCGGUUGUUCACUCGAUCAAAGUACUGGUGUUUGGCAGACAACCUUGUGAUCGAGGUGUGGGUUUGAUCUCCUAUGGUUCCUGAGGGCCUAAUCCUUUAGAAUGGGUUUGUGGCUCCUAUCGUUUACUAAGUUGUUUUCUCAGUAGAUAUUAAGGCUCCAUGCUUCGCCUCAUCAGUAGACAACAUUCCAAAGAAGGCAAAGCAAAUUCAAGAGAUUAAAGACUGAUAAAAUACCUGCAAAGUAAUGUCUCUGGUUUACUUAUAGAAGUAGCUGAAUGAUUUUUAAAGUAAUUUUUCUAUUUUAAUCUUUAAUAUGUAGAAGAAAAAAAAAGUUUGUAUGCUAACAACUAAAUAACUCACCUAAAUUUGUGAUGUGUUUUCAUCAUGUAGGAACAAGCUUAUAAAAGAGAGAGAGAGAGAGAAGCUUGACAAUUCUCUUAAAAAAUGAGAGUGAAAUGUAAUUAUUGUUAUUAUAUAGAAUUAAGAGAAUGAGAGUGAAAUGUAAUUAUUGCUAUUAUAUAGAAUGUCU